rnacentral:rRNA from 1 species
AUUGAACGCUGGCGGCAGGCUUAACACAUGCAAGUCGAGCGGAGAUGAGGUGCUUGCACCUUAUCUUAGCGGCGGACGGGCGAGUAAUGCUUAGGAAUCUGACUAUUAGUGGGGGACCACAUUACGAAAGGAAUGCUAAUACCGCAUACGUUAUACGGGAGAAAGCAGGGGAUCAUCGGACCUUGCGCUAAUAGGUGAGCGUAAGUCAGAGUAGCUAGUUGGUGGGGUAAAGGCCUACCAAGGCGACGAUCUGUAGAGGGUGUGAGAGGAUGAUACGACACACUGGGACUGGGACACGGCCCAGCUUCCUACGGGAGGCAGCAGUGGGGAAUAUUGGACAAUGGGGGGAACCCUGAUCCAGCCAUGCCGCGUGUGUGAAGAAGGCCUUAUGGUUGUAAAGCACUUUAAGCGAGGAGGAGGCUACUGAGACUAAUACUCUUGGAUAGUGGACGUUACUCGCAGAAUAAGCACCGGCUAACUCUGUGCCAGAAGCCGCCGUAAGAC